AUGAUGAUACAAACUCUAAAAUAUUUAUACGGUUAGAACCUGAGUUCUUGUGAAGAUUUUUCUAGGGCGGACUGAUAAA
rnacentral:snoRNA from 1 species